rnacentral:rRNA from 1 species
AGAGCGAACGCUGGCGGCAGGCUUAACACAUGCAAGUCGAGCGGGCGUAGCAAUACGUCAGCGGCAGACGGGUGAGUAACGCGUGGGAACAUACCUUUGGUUCGGAACAACACAGGGAAACUUGUGCUAAUACCGGAUAAGCCCUUACGGGGAAAGAUUUAUCGCCGAAAGAUUGGCCCGCGUCUGAUUAGCUAGUUGGUGAGGUAACGGCUCACCAAGGCGACGAUCAGUAGCUGGUCUGAGAGGAUGAUCAGCCACAUUGGGACUGAGACACGGCCCAAACUCCUACGGGAGGCAGCAGUGGGGAAUAUUGGACAAUGGGCGCAAGCCUGAUCCAGCCAUGCCGCGUGAGUGAUGAAGGCCCUAGGGUUGUAAAGCUCUUUUGUGCGGGAAGAUAAUGACGGUACCGCAAGAAUAAAGCCCGGCUAACUUCGCGCCAGCAGCCGC